rnacentral:lncRNA from 1 species
AAGAGAACAAAAUCACAAAGUAGAAAUUUUGACAACCAAAACAAUUGAAGGUGAGAAUGGAGGCUAAUCUUCAUGAGUUUCCAAAAGCCUCAGAAAGAAAAAAUCAAAUUAAAUGAAGGAUCACUAAAGUAAUAGGUAAGGCAUUCUAAAUUAGACAAACUAAUAAAGUAUCGAUUCAUGAACUAACCGCUAGGAUUUUAAAAAAAGCAUAUAAAUUAAGACAAGGGUGAUCAGGAACUAACAUUAAUGAUUUUGAAAUAAAAACUAAAAAGGGAUCAAUUCAGGUAAGGAACUAAAAUUAUAGAAGUACCUAAACUAAUUAAAACGAGUUUGACUAAAUUAAACUAAAAACAUGAACUUUCAAACAUAGAAUUAAUUUUACUAAAGAACUAAAACUGUAAAAAGUGCUUAAACUAAUUAAAAUGAGCCAAACUAAAAAUGUCUAAACUAAAUAGAUGAAUUAAAUUAAAUCAUACUAAACUAAAAACACGAACUUUCAAACAUGAGAUCAAUUUUAUUAAAGAACUAAAACUAUAAAAGUAUUUAAACUAAAUAGAUGAAUUAAAUCAAACUAAAAGUAAACUCGAAACAUGAACUUUCAAAUAUAUAAUCAAUUUUAUUAAUGAACUAAAACUAUAAGGGUAACUAAACUAAUUAAAAUGAACCAAAUUAAGUUCAAACAAAUUGAGAAACAUGAAUUUGAUUAGACGAGAUCAAUUAAACUUGUAAACUAGAAUUCGUGAAACACCUAAACUAUAUAGGAUGACUCAAAACCAAGAUUAACAAUUCUAACUUUCAAUCUAAUGGAAUCAAAACAAAUAUAAAGAAAAUUAACUUUCAAACCAAAAAUUAAGAAUAAUAAUAAUAAAUAAAUAAAUAAAUAAAAAAAGCUGACUUACCUUCUCUAAAUGGUGUGUGUGGGCUGCCCAUGGUAAAUCUUGAAGUAGUAGCUUGCUACUUCUUCUCCAAUAUGUGUGGUUGUAUGUGGGACUGUGGAUGAGCCACUAAUAUUCAUGGUAGCAAGUGAUCCUCCAUGUGCAUGUGUAUCAUCUCUGAUCGGCAAUGUGUGAAGACCUUUCUCUCUUUAGGAUGCAAUGUG